GGCAAAGACACAGAGAGUGCACCCAGAACACAUACCCCCAGGAGACCUGCAGGGGCCAGGGCUGCCUGACAGACCCCUCCACGCCCCAUGUCCACAGGGUGAUGCCUCAUCACAACCGUAAAGGAAUGUCAAGAGGACAGAAUUCUGAGAACUUGGGGAGGAGGUGCCUCGAUUUUUCUGGAAGAAGGUGGCAGAAAGAGCAAAUCAAGCUAAGAGGGCCUGCUAGCUGGUAAGUAGCUCUGCAAAGAAUGGAGAAAGAAGGGCCCCACAGUCAAAGAUGCCCAGGAUAAUUCCUAUAGGACCUGCUUCAUUUCCCAGGCAAGGUGUGUCAUCAGCUUAUAUGCAAAUGAGGUCUUAACAAAUUAUUUUUAAAGUCAUUGGAAAAAAAUGCUUAGCUCGCCCAAUUUUGGUGGGUUCAGGACUUAUGUUCCAACAAUGCUUAUUACCCUGUAAAUCUGGACAUAAAACCAGCUCCAGUCAGGGUUUGAAUCAGCAUGAAUUCUAGGUCAGUGUAGGUCCAAAGAAGAGGUUUGUGCAGCCGGGGCUGAGGACACAGCAGCCUUAUCGCUAACUGUGGUUCUGGCCAGGGCUCUGCACAAGGCAGGAGCAGCAAGCUAGUUACACAGGGCCAGUGCCCUCAACCUGCUCUCCUGUUUUUCCUGUCCUUCUCCCUUCUACCAGGUGGCUCUUUCCUGCUCAGGACAGUGCUCUUGGACAGACCCUCCAGUGGGCACUUAAGAGUCCUAGGAAACUGAAGCCCAGAGAUGCCAAAUGAUUGAGGUCCGAGGUCAUCCAGCAUCAGAGCCAGGAUUACACAAUCACUUAAAAUGCAGCUCAACUGUGAAAGUGAGGAGGGAGAAUAUAAGUGUGAGUUCAUGACCCGCCAUCCUCAGGGGAAGCCUGCAUCAUGUCACCCCCGCCAGGUGACGCACGUGCACAUGCCUCUGAUCUAUCUACCCUGCCAGCUACAGAAAUCAAGACAAAGCCUGGAAUCUACCAACCUACCAGCAUCUCCAGCAGGAAGGGUGGAGGUAAAGUGGCCCUUCCUCAAGCACAGAGAAACCAAAGCUGAAGGGUGUAUCCUCAGCCCACCAGCAGCAGAGAGGCUCCAGAGAGAACCUCUGUGCCAGGGGCUAUGCCCCCUACACCAGGCCUCCUCUGGCCUCGCUGAGGGGAGGGCUCGCUCAGCCAUAAUCUGUUCUCCCUGACACACCCUCCUUUUAUUUCUCUCACUCCAGAAAGUAACAAGGAUAACCCCCCUCCUCAUAACCCUCCUCCCCUUCAGAGCACAGAGAGCUCCUGGAGAACCAGGGCUGGUCCCUGUUCUUUCCACACUGGGCUCACUCUGCUCUUAACUUUUUCCAGAGGCAAAAACAUCAGGAUUAAAGCCAGGUGGCCACAGUGCUGCA
rnacentral:lncRNA from 1 species